rnacentral:rRNA from 1 species
UACGGAGGAGGCAAGCGUUAUCCGGAAUUAUUGGGCGUAAAGCGUCCGCAGGUGGCAGUUCAAGUCUGCUGUCAAAGACCGGGGCUUAACUUCGGAAAGGCAGUGGAAACUGAACAGCUAGAGUAUGGUAGGGGCAGAGGGAAUUCCUGGUGUAGCGGUGAAAUGCGUAGAGAUCAGGAGGAACACCGGUGGUGUAGACGGCUUUCUGGACCGUAACUGACGCUGAGACACGAAAGCGUGGGUAGCAAACAGG